rnacentral:rRNA from 1 species
AGGACGAACGCUGGCGGCGUGCUUAACACAUGCAAGUCGAGCGGUAAGGCUCCUUCGGGAGUACACGAGCGGCGAACGGGUGAGUAACACGUGAGUAACCUGCCCCAUUCAUCGGAAUAACCAGUGGAAACGCUGGCUAAUGCCGAAUACGACCACCGAAGGCAUCUUCUGGUGGUGGAAAGCUCCGGCGGAAUGGGAUGGACUCGACGGCCUAUCAGCUUGUUGGUGAGGUAAUGGCUCACCAAGGCGACGACGGGUAGCCGGCCUGAGAGGGUGCCGGCACACGUCGGACUGAGACACGGCCAGACUCCGUACGGGAACGGCAGGCAGGUAGGGGGAAUACGUUAGGGACAAGUGGGACCGAAAGCCGUAGAUCCC